AGAAAUAGAAUUUGGUCAUUGCUACAAUUUUUCAUGUCACUGUAAUUUAACUAUAAUUGUAUUUAUUUAACCAAUAAUUUAUUUAUCUCAUGUUCAUUGCAAGGACUAAAUAUUAUAAAUACAUUUACUCUAUUUUCCCCUACCUAAUAUUGAUCAAGUUCUUUAUCUAAUACGAAGCCCUAUGUUUAUUUUUCACGUAAUACGAUGCAGAUGGACCGGCA
rnacentral:lncRNA from 1 species